UCCCAUAUUGGCUCCCACGGGGCAACCAGGA
rnacentral:piRNA from 1 species